UGUCCUACGGGGGGCAGCAGUGGGGAAUAUUGGACAAUGGGGGGAACCCUGAUCCAGCGACGCCGCGUGAGUGAAGAAGUAUUUCGGUAUGUAAAGCUCUAUCAGCAGGGAAGAAAGAAAUGACGGUACCUGACUAAGAAGCCCCGGCUAACUACGUGCCAGCAGCCGCGGUAAUACGUAGGGGGCAAGCGUUAUCGGGAUUUACUGGGUGUAAAGGGUGCGCAGGUGGCAGGGCAAGUCAGAUGUGAAAGCCCGGGGCUCAACCCCGGUACUGCAUUUGAAACUGUCCAGCUGGAGUGCAGGAG
rnacentral:rRNA from 1 species